rnacentral:lncRNA from 1 species
UUCUCUUGUACCAAACAACUAAUAAAAUCAUCUUACUUUCUACUCUCAUUCUUUCCUUACACAAUCUUUCCUUUAACUUUCUUUCCUUCUACUUUCUUUGAUCAACCAAACAAAGCCUAAGAGUAUAUGCAUAGGAACGUUAUACAAAGAAAAAAUAUCACCUCAUUUGUGUAGUGGUGUCAUGAGAAACUGUGAUACAUUCAAGAGAUUUAGG